CCUACGGGAGGCAGCAGUAAGGAAUAUUGGUCAAUGGACGCAAGUCUGAACCAGCCAUGCCGCGUGAAGGAUGAAUGCCCUCUGGGUUGUAAACUUCUUUUAUAGGGGACGAAAAAGGGUCUUUUUAGAUCAACUGACGGUACCCUAGGAAUAAGCACCGGCUAACUCCGUGCCAGCAGCCGCGGUAAUACGGAGGGUGCAAGCGUUAUCCGGAUUUACUGGGUUUAAAGGGUGCGUAGGUGGGUUGGUAAGUCAGCGGUGAAAUCUUCGAGCUUAACUCGGAAACUGCCAUUGAUACUAUCAGUCUUGAAUAUCCUGGAGGUGAGCGGAAUAUGUCAUGUAGCGGUGAAAUGCUUAGAUAUGACAUAGAACACCAAUUGCGAAGGCAGCUCACUACGGGAUUAUUGACACUGAGGCACGAAAGCGUGGGGAUCAAACAGGAUUAGAUACCCUGGUAGUCCACGCCCUAAACGAUGGAUACUCGACAUUUGCGAUAUACAGUAAGUGUNUGAGCGAAGANAUAAGUAUACCACCUACGGAGUACGAGUCGCGAGAGUAGAACGUACAAAUAGUAAGUUAGUACGGCGUAGAGACGUAGACCGACGGACGACGACGAGGGGAGGAGG
rnacentral:rRNA from 1 species